rnacentral:lncRNA from 1 species
CUCUUAACAGGCGGGCUGAGGAAGUUGCCUCUCUCUGGCGCCUGCAUUCAAUGAACGUUUGUAAUGUUAGCAGGUGUGGACCUUGAGGAGAUUUUCUCUCCCUGGCUGCCCAAUUAUCAUUUUUAGAGAGGCAAUGCGAUAAUUGCUGAACGAUGUCACCUGACAUUCCUAGCGGGUGGGAGAGAGCCCUCUCCUGCCCCGCUCAUUGCCUAACUACCUGUAACAGGUGUGUGGGUGAGUGCUCCCUGUGAUGGAACGGUGUCCUGUUCAGGACUGGGUGCCACCUGGCACCUUGAGCUGCCAGGACCGGCUCGGGCUGCUCGCGAUCCCAAACUAGAACAAAUGGAAAUGUUCAGUUGUCUAGCUCACAGGGAUAUCCACAAGCCAGACCCAGAAAGCCUUUGCUACCAUUGAUGAAGAUGCCAAGUCCACAGCCCAACAGCCAGAAGACCCUUGGUCUAGCCCUUGGAUUCAGACUGAAUUGAUAUCGCCAGGUUUCCUGUCUUUUCAGCUUGCAGGCAGCUGAUUGUGGGACUUCUCAGCCUCCUUAAUCAUGGAUUAAUAUCAUCCUCAAGAAAGACCCUUCUCUGUGUCUCUGGUAUUCAAGCUAAGUGACCUUACAUGUGCGUCAUUCAUGCGGUGAGUAUAGGAGUUGUUACUUUUGACACUCCAAAUCUGGAAGAACCAUUUAUGGAAAAACAGAUGUGAAGGGAAGGUGGUAUGUGGAUACUGUGCAUCUCAAUAUCAAUUGUGUGUGGGUGUGAGCUUGAUAUGGUCCCUUCUCAUGGCGUAUGUUAUAGAAAUUUCUCUCUUCCUUUCUGAUUGUUGGGACCUGUGAAUCACACACACACACAAACACACACACACGCACACACACAUGCCACAGAGUUUUCUUCAUUGUGGAUAAAGUUUCUCAGUGAUAAUAAUGCCCAAACUCAUUAGAAGAGACAGCUUUUUCUAACUCCUCAAUGUUUUAAUAUUUUACAAGGCAACUGCUUUCCAAUGGAGUACAGUAUUUUGCAUCAAAGUGUUUGUUCUUUUCUCAUUUCCUCUCUGCCCCUGCAGCUUUUAUAAUUGGGCCACUUGGGUGCCCAGCAGAAGAAUGACUCCCUGUACUGAGCCAUAUUUCUCUUAAUAAAAAGUUUUGCCUGUACAUUUUGGACCACAUGAAAGAACUUUACUCAAAUCCUUAGCCAAAGGCUAGUCCUAUUCGAAAUAUUUGCUUGGAAGGAGGAAAGAGAAUUGUUUUAUUUUUUAGUUACAAGAAGAAAGAGACCACUGUGGUAAGAAUUCAUUUGUAGUCAGGAUACAAAAAUGAAUGAAGCUUUGACAGAUGGUAGCUACUUCCUCUAUUAAGUAAAUCUAGGGUCAUUGGCUAAUGGUAAUGUGGGAGAUAAUGGAAAAAUGGUAUAGGAGAGAAUGGUUGCAGAAGAAACCGUCAGUGUGGAGUUUGAGAAAGGGAGCUCAUAACACUGAACAUAAGUUCUCUAUAAGUGGGUCCAGUUGAAGGUAAAGAGUGUACAUUUGUCAUGAUAGUGAUCUACAUGUCUAUAGCUUGGUACAGAAAUGAAAAACACAAAUGGUCAUACCAAGCUAAUGUUAAGAGUUUGCAGGGGAGUGAGUUGCAGACCAAAAAUAGUAGGUGGAUAGAUUUGCUGCUCAGGGAGUAAGUGAAAUACUGGGCAUAGCCUGGGGAGGUCUUACUCCAUAAAAGGGGAAGGGAAAGGAAAGGGAAAGCUAGGUGCGUAGCAUCAUGUGCUUCUUCCUGCCCCACUGUGACUAGCCUAAAUCCUGUUGGCAGUCUUUCCCAGGGGUAUUCAUACUGCUGUGCAACCCACCACCUCCUGAUCCUCUGUGUUACAAGGAUAAUUAAACUGUGGUGCCAGGUUAAUCUUCCUAUUGCAACGUUUUAAUUAGGAAUUCCCCUGGCUCAAAAACUUUUCAUGUCUUCCCAUUGCCUUUCCCAUGUUCUCCAUUUCUCUUACUUGCAACUUACAACUCUCACAUGGACUGCAUUUCUCAAUAGAGUAUUCCAUCUUGAAAUAUGAUCAGCUCUGUUAAAUAUGGCACUUCAGGUAAGGUAGGGUAGUCGAUUCUAAGUCUUCAGGGAAAUUAAUCCAAUUAACGUUAACCCCACACUUCUGAUCUAUGGGAAGAGAGGAACAGUGAGAGACUGAUUCAUUUCCUACUGACCAAAGGAGACGUGUACCUAGAGCACAAUAAAAAGUCAGAGCCCUGACCCUAAACUGGGGCUUUGUGAUUGCUGUAAAUCUAUCACACUAUGAUGAAAAUCUGAGAUGUAACCUAAUUCUUUAGCCCCUUCCCUACACAUGCUCAGAUGGGAAAACAAGGGGUACGUGAAGCUAGCUGUGAUCCAAAAACUUGUUAAAAGUGUUUUAGAUGUUAGAUCACACCCAUCCUGGAGAGAAAGCAUAUGUUCUCUAUAUUUUUCUCCAGCGUUGGAAAUGUUGCCUUGGGGGUUGUUGUCAUUUCUGUCUUUUCUACAUACAUAAUAAAUUGGAAUUCUUUUCUUUGUUAAGAUUUUUAAUAAGCAGCAGUGUUAAAGAGCACUUAUUUAGAUGAAACAUGCUAGAGGGCAAAGGGGAAUUGAAAUAUCCUAUAAAUUAUUGAAAUUAGCCAAUGGGAAACAUAAUUAAUUGAUUUCCCUUACUUUCUGGAAAGUCUGUAUAUGCUCUGUAUCCAUGCCUUUUGAAAUUUUAUCUACUCAAAACCCACCUCCAAGGUUACUUCACGCAUAAUUUUCCCCAAUCAUAUAUGUUCCCUUCCUUCUUUCAACUCAGGUGACACAUUGUGUUUUGUAAAGCUAAUAUGUUUUAUGUUAUAAAAUAAUUAUUUUCUACAUAUCUUAUCUCUACAAUUGCAAAAUUAUUAAGAAGCUUAUAGUGACAGUCAUAAAUAUUCAUAUAAAAUGAAUACUAUUAUUUUAUUUUGAAUAAAGUUUUAUAUGCCUUUUCUAUUUUAAUCCUUGCUGUAACCCUCUGUGCAGACAUUAUUUUGAAGACUAUUAUUGUCCUCCAAUUUAUCUUGAAGCUUUAGAGUAAAACAGUCUUGGGCUGUAUUCCUGGAUUUGAAAUAUAUUGGAUUUGUGUCUCUAGGCAAGUUAUUUAAUUUAUCUGAGCUUAAUUUUCUUCAUUUUUAGAGGUAGCAUGGUAUUUAUAUCUUAUAUAACUUACAUACAUUCAUAUAUUUACAUAAUUUAUCAUUGCUGUAAGAAAUGAAUGUUUGCUUAUAUAUAACAUAUAAAAUGCCUACACGUGAGGCAUUCAUAUAAUUACUAUUUGGAAUAUUUUUCACUAUGCAUAUUCCAUAUGUAUUGGAAGCCCACUAAUGUUCAAAGCAGUUUGAAAGUUGCAACUUUCAAGUACUUGCACUUGACUAUUAGCGGUUAGGGAAUAAACCAAAAUAAAGAAUGGAAUCCUGAAGUUAUACCUUUCUCUUUGUGGGGAAGAGCAAAUCCCACAGGCUUAGACAUCAUCAAACACAUAACACAGGAAAUCAAACAGAUUAAUGAGUGCAUAUGCAUAUGAUAAACCCAAAUAUUAUAUUAAUAGGCACAAAUGUUAUGAAUCAUGAAAAAAAUCAUAAAAUAAAUUAUCAAUAAAAAUAUACAUUUAAUAAGUUCACUAGCAUAACAAGUUGCUACUAUUAGGCAAGUGUAAAGACCAUGCAGACAUAGUGAUCUUUCCAGAUUCUUCUGAGCUCCAAAUAGAAUGAGAAAAACUUGCAGAUGUCACACAAACAAUACUGGCUGGUAAGGCGUAGUCUGUCUCUCACUGUGCACAUUUUAACCUCUUGAAUCAUGUCUGUUGCAAGAAAAACAGUAUGUCAAGGUAGAGGGUCCGGAGAUUCUAGUUAUAUACCAUGAGUAUGACUGAUGAGAAAUGCUUUCGCAUUGUUUGAAUAUCAGAGUCAUUUAAACUAUUUUACAGGAAGAAAAAAAUGUAGUUUAACUUAGAGUGAUGAAAACAUCUGCUACUGGCAGUUCGACAGAGAGUGGUGAGUAAGAGAGAUUUCACAGAAGUUGGCUUAUUUUGGAAAGCAGCAGGCCACAGCUGAUAUUGAUUGAGAUGGACAUCCUUAUCAAUAUGACCUAUAUAAUGUCUUGAGAUAAAAAUAUUCUAUUUGAUGGCUUGGCAUUCUUCUGGCCCGAAAAGACUGUAGUAACUUUAGAAAGAAGGGCAAAAGCUGAUGUCAUCAUGAUAAUGAAAUUAUUGCAAAAUGGGGCAAUCUAUGGGGAAUUAAGAAAUGCCAUAACAUAUUUUGAGGUCGGCAGAGACAAUGACACAUAGUUAGGAACAUUUAGUCAUGCGGUUAAGCAAAAUGAUGUAUUUGCCCAAAAAUGCCCUCAUAUUUAUGAAGGCUUGGAAUGGAAGCAAUAGGAGUGGAUUAAAAAUAAAGAACAGGAGUUUUGACCCAGAUAUAAUUGGACCCCUGGGUCUUUCACUUUCCUGCGGUAUCACAUUGGGAACAAGAGCAGGGAAAGACAUUACUUAUACUUCCAGUUUCUCUUUUAUACAAUAGGUGCCAGAUUAAUUAUCUCAUGGUAUUGUUGAGAAAGAGAUGCCAUGUGUGGCCAACACAGUUCCUGCUACACAGUAGGCAUACAGUCAAUGGCAGGUCUCUGUUCAUAAUUUUAUCAUGGUUUUGGUUGAAAAAUUCAUUGUGAGUUUAACUUCUGGCUUUCAGUGCUAAAUAAAUAGUGCCUCAGUGAUACCACGAGAAUCAAGGUCAGAAGGAAUUAUUUUCUAGGGUACUGGAUAAUAAUCUUCAUUUGGAAUAAAGAGAGAUGUGUUUCUCCACUAACUUGUUUUUAUACACUUACUUAAUGAUUUGAAACCACUUUUAAACGAGCUAAGUAUCCUUCUCUGUCCCCUUAGAAAACAGAAUCAAUCCAAGCACUCACUUGUACAGCAGUUAGAUGAUAUGGUUUUAUUAUCAGAAUUUAGGGGUAGCUUGAAGAGAUCACUGGCACUUCUAUAUAAUUACUGUUAGAAAUAAUUAUUUAAAAAGAAGUAUUCCAAGGUCAAAAUAAUUUUUUGGUGAGUGUCCUUCAUCGUAGAGUUAACUCCACAGAACGAAUCAAUCCAUUCAAUUACCUGGGCGUUCUUUUUAUGACCUGUUUAUUUUAAAGGAUUAAACCUGGACAGUGCAUUAUGGGAAGUUACAUGUUCUCUAGGCACUUCAUUCGAGUACGAAUUUAGUAGCACUUGAACACAGUUAAAGUUAAAAUCAUUGCAAUCUUGCCCCAAGGGGAGAAAACAUGGAGGCCUCAGUUGCCCGUUGGUCAGUUUGUUGGUGUGAACUUUGCAUUCCUUUCUGAACGAGUUUUGGUUCUGCUUGCCCAAACUAAUUCAACAACUCCUCCAAGGUUGGAGGAGUAUCUCAGGCAUGUUUUUGACCUUUACUUUGCUGUUGGUAAAGUCAGGCAUAUAUUCUGUUAAUUGACAGCGUGGACUACUGUACUUCAGCUGUAAUGAAAACUACAAGAGGAGAAUCACUUGAACUCAGGAGGCAGAAGUUGCAGUGAGCAGAGAUUGUGCUACCGCACUCCAGCCUGGGCGGCAGAGCGAGACUCCUUCUCAAAAAAAAAAAAAAAAAAAAAAAACCAAAAAAACAAAACAACACAAAACAAACAAACAAAAAAACACAAAAAGCUGCACAGUAUUUCUCAAUAAUGUUCAUGGAAGACAAUUUGUAGGAUAAUCCAUUUCUUUAGAUACUUUAAGUCCUAACAUUUGGUGAAAUCAUACUAUAAAAACUAUGCUACCUGUAUGCUACUACUUAACAGAAGUGUGACUUCCUGGUAUCUGGCAAGUGUAACUUGUCACUCCAUAGCCAGCUCUUUUGAAAAUAUGGUUAUAGCACAUGUUGUUCAUUUUGGAUAAUAUCUCAUCCCUCAGUUUUAGGAAUAGAUUAAUUCCUUUGAACCACUAACAUUUAUUUUUUGUUGGCCAAACUAAUUAUUUAUAAAUGAUAUUUUCUUCUUUUUAUCAAAUAUUCAAGUCUCAAAGCAAUGUUUUUGAUCCACAGGAUUUUAUGACAUAUAUUUGCCUACUAAUCUUAUGUUCAGUUUCAUCUUAUGAUGCUCACCCCAAUUUCCCUUUGUUCCAAUUUGUUUAAAUCUUUGCUUUUUUAAAUUUCUUGUAUCAUGAAUCAUCUGUAAGCGAUAUCAUGGUAGCCGUGAAAAUGCAUGGUUCUAAUCUCUUUCAAGAGACCGAGCUGGGGUGCCCACGUCACUGACAGACCUAGAGAUCCACCACCAUUUAGAAAAACAUGUUUUCCCUGUGUAGGCUUCUCAGGGAUGAGGGCUAAUCGUGGUGUAUGUCCUGGUGCUGGCCCAUUUCUACGGGAUACAGGAUGCCUUAAGAGAGCAUCCUUUGGCUUGGGGAUCCCUAAUCACCCUGACCCCAACUUGUCUCGAGCUCUGCUGCAGUGUGAGGCUCUUCCUGCUCAGUCUUCCACAGCAUUACAUGCUGGAGGACCUUCCUGCUGACUCAGGCCCUGUCCCCUUUGCCUUCAAGUGAGUUUCUCCCAUUAAAUCCUCUGUACAUCUAAUGGUUUGGAUGUGUUUCCUCUCCAGACCUCAUGUUGAAAUGUGAUCCCCAGUAUUGGAGAUGGGGCCUAGUGGAAAGUGUUUGGCUUAUGGGGGUGGAUUUUUCAUAAAUGGCUUGGUGCCCUCCUCGUGGUAACGAGUGAGUUGUUGCUGUGAGUUCAUGCAAGAUAUGAUUGUUUAAAAGAGUGUGGCAUCCCUCUGCCCCUUGCUCCCACUAUACCUAUGUGAAAUGCUGGGUCCCCCUUCAUCUUACAUCAUGAUUUGAAGUUUGCUGAGGCCCUCAUCAGAAGCUAAGCAGAUGCUGAUGCCUUGAUUGUACAGCUUGCAGAACCGUAGUCCCAAUAAACCUCUUUUCUUUAUAAAUUACCCAACCUCAGGUAUUCUUUUAUAACAGUGAAAAUGUACUAAUAUUGGACAAAUGUACUAUAACAGAUGUUCUUCUUGGUGUAUACUUCUUGAAGGACGUGAAUUAACAGAGGUGAUCUAAAGAAUAGUCUAAACAAGGCAGACAUUGAGAUGGUCCUUGGGAAUUUGUUCACUUGCUGCUAAGGUAUCAAGGAUAACAUCAUUUUAAAUAUUCUAAUUGCCACAGAUAGUUUCUUAAAUAAGAUGGGAGUGUGGUUGCUAAAGAUUUCAUGGCCAAAUGCAGUGGCUCAAGCCAGUAAUCCCAGCACUUUGGGAGGCUGAGGAGGGCAGAUCACAAGGUCAGGAGUUCGAGAUCAGCCUGGCCAAUAUAGUGAAACUUCGUCUACCGAAAAUAAAAAACUUAGCCGGGCGUGGUGGUGUGUGCCUGUAAUCCCAGCCAGUGCGGAGACUGAGGCAGGAUAAUUGCUUGAACCUGGGAGGCAGAGGUUGCAGUGGGCCGAGAUCGUGCCACUGCACUCCAGCCUGGACGACAGAGCAAGACUCCAUCUCAAAAAAAAGAAAAAAAAAGAUUUCAUGAAGAGUAACCUGAGAAAACAGGGAAGUGCCCUUGUAGGUGAAAUGACUCAGGCUGAAUGAUGCAGGCACUUGAAAGGUAUGGGGGAAAGUCAUGUUCAUAAGAAGAGCAAAACUGUGAGUUUACACCCAAAUAAUAUUGGCCCUGCAGAGGAAUAAAGAGAAACUGAAAAGCUUUUACCAAAUGGAGGCUAAUGUGAAAGUCAAAUGGGCUUGUUAAGUUUAGAAUGAGGCCCAUAGGUCCUUAUGUGGAAGCAGACAGGGUAUUAAAGAGGAGGAGCAGUAGCCCUCCUGAGUCAUUAGGUAAGGCAGAUCUGUUAUGCUAAAGUCAGGCACUGACUCGAAAAAUAUGAAGCCCCGAAAAUGAAACAGGCCCAUCUAAAUGGAUGUUCCUGGGGAUUUUGAUUCUGCAGAUGUGGCCCACGUCUUCUUAAUAGGAGCUAGCACUUCAACCUGUGGAUUGAUAAAGCAAAUGUCUUCCUCAGAAGGCCAUUGGCCCUCCCUAGACCUGUUAUAGACUGAAUUGUUUCUCCCUAGAAUUCAGUGUUGAAGCCCUACCCCCCAGUGUGACUGUAAUAGGAGAUAGGAUGGGGUCAUAAUGGGGGGGUCCCUAAUCCAACAGGACUAGUGGCCUUGUGAGAAGAGAGAGCAACACCAGCAAUGCACAUGCAAAGAGGAAAGGCCCUGCAAGGAUGCUAAGAACGAGGACGGCCAUCCGCCCACCAAGGAGAGAAGUAUCAGGAGGAACAAACCGGCCAACACCUUGAUCUUGGACUUCCAGCCUCCAGAACUGUCCGCAGCUUGGGCUACCUUCCAGCAUAAAGUCACUAAAGAUGUGCCGGGCAUGAUGAAGGAAGAAAGCGACUACAUGCUGAAGGAGAUGGUGCGGGGACUCGCUAGUACCUAUUGGCAGGACCUGGGGAACUUUGGUGGGUGCUUGAUAAUGGGGACUGGAAUAAAAACUGGCUAAGCAAAAAUUUAUGGACUUGGAUUCACUUUCUCAGAACACAGUUUAAUACCUUGGCAAGGAUUGCAGCAUAUGGGGCAAACUCCCUGCAGGGUGACCCUUAGAAACCUGGAGAAAAUGUAAAAGCCCUUUCUUGAGGAAUUGUCAUUUCCUAAAUUGUCAUGAAGAAAGGUAGAGAAAGGUAGAAAGAGGAUGAGGAAAGUGGGUACUCUGGAAUGGACACAUUAGGUGAGGACAGAAGAUCUGCCAGAGGUUAAGUAUUAUGACACGCUAUUCACUAAAACCAUUAGACACACCAUUCACCAGCUGGUGAAAAAGGCUACCAGAAUCACUAAAAUUUCAGUGGCUGUUCUAUGCAGGCCAGGGCUGAAGGUAGCAGAGGCCGUCACAGGCUGGACUCACUGACA